UAGGAUCGCCAAGGAGAUCGGUGAAGAGCGAAACCUUCCCGGUUCCGACGUCGCAGAUAGUCUCGACAGCCUCGACUCCGGGACAAUCUCUCUCUGGAUCGAACACUCUAACCGCUACAUGGUAAUCCAUAACUGACUGUACGUUUUUCUUUUCUUUUCUUCUUCCUUUUCCUUUUUUAGUUCUUAAACCGCAAGAUUAACUAACCGGCCUUCGCUUAAUCUGGGUUAUAUGAAGAGGGAAGAAGGAAGGGGAGAAAAGAUGGGUUAUGGAAUAGAAUCUGGCAGUAGUGGUGAUCUCUUUUUUGGACUGUUCUAGUACGUACGUUUAUCACAAUUUGUAGUGGGUUCCUCCUGUUGAUAAAGACUCCUAGAGGGGUUUGGAAAUUGGAAUGAGAGAUUGUGAGAAAAUCACACCACACCCUGAUUGAAUGAUUGGAUGAUUGAUUGGGCAAUUUGGGCAUGGGUUAACUACUUAUUUAUACCCAAAUAUUCCCCUCACCAUACACUUAGGGAUUACCUACGACAGAUAGAUCAUCCUCCCACAUGCUUUUUUUUAAUACCCACAAUCUCAUUUCAUUUUAGUUGUUUCUGAUUAUUUAAGUUGUUUGUAAAAGAUUAGCUUAGCUGACCACUUGAAAAUUACUUGAGUUAUUCUCUUUGUGAUUUUAUCAGACAGAUAAAUUAACCUAUAUACAGAAAUAUUGUGUUUUCUAAUAAAAGAGAUUAGCUUGAACUCUAAAUUUUCAGAAACCUUAAUAGUUAAGCAUUUAUAUACAGAAAGAGUUUGAUUCAACUGAUAACAGUUAGUUACUAUUAUACUUUCUGAUAAAAGAGAUUAACUCAAACUCUGGAUCUUCAGAAACUUUAAUGGGUAAUGCAAGAAUCAGUUGAGCUAUUUUCUUUGUGAUUUUAUCUAGUAUUUAAGUUGUUUACAAAAUAUCUAAGCAUUUACAUAUAGAGAUUAACUCAACUGAUAACAGUUGCUCUUAUGUUUUUUUCUGAUAAAAGAGAUUAACUCGAACUCAGAAACCUUAAUAGUUAAUGUGAUCAGUUAAACUAUAUUACUUUAUGUGAUUUUACCUAGUAUCUAAGUCGUUUACAGAAUAUCUAAGCAUUUAC
rnacentral:lncRNA from 1 species